AAAUUCCAGGAGGCAAGAUGACUGUGAGAAAUAUACAUCCAGGAUUCACACAGAUAUUCCAUGAUCUUCCAAAUCAAGGUACAGUGAUAGCUACAAGGGGGUGGAACUUUGAAAUAAUCAGCAGUUCCUGGUGGCAUGUAACCAAGUAAAAACCAGUCACAGGGAGAGCCACAAAUUCCCAAGGAAGAGAAGCAAAAUGUGAAAGAGGUGCCUCUUAUUAUGAGGGGACGGGGGUGAGGGGAAGUUAUUUGUGGUGAUCCUUAGGCAGACAGAGUGAAAAUUUACAGAUUGUACAUCCCCAAACAGUGGGGAAAAUCAGGAGCCCGGAGAGCAGGAGGUGGGAUACGGAUAAAUCUGCAAAGAGAAGUCAAAGGAUGUGUUGAAGACAAGGAGAUAAAGAGAGAACUAGUGAGCAAGGCUGUAGUCAUCCUGAAAGAUACAGCAGCCAGAAUGAUUUAGGCUUCUGGGAAGGAUCCAAUGAGAAUUCAAGAGGGCAUUGCUUCGGAAAUCCUGUUCCGAUCUUGCCGCUCUCAGUUCUUUAAGAGUUACCUGCGUUGGGAACAUUAUCAUUAGGAUUAAUAGUAUUCCAUCAGUGCAUUUCACAAGGAUUUCCCUUGAACCCUUCUCUCGCUCGCAGAAACAGAAGGAGGCGCAGUGAGGAAGCCCGACACAACCAACCCUCCCCCCUCCCAAAUAAACCACUAGGGUCACUUUAGGAUGACCAAAUCAUCAGCGAUUCACACUGAAGGGGGGAAUCGGAGGGCUGAUGAUGUGGAGGAGGCCGAGUCGCUGGGCGCUUUCGGGGCGCUGUGCCCGGAGGCUCAGGCCAGGGGACAGGGAACCUUGGUUAGAGGCGGCCGCGGAGGCUGCAGGAGCCCACACAGGUCCUGCUUUCUUGGCGAGUCCUGCUGCCCGCGACUGAAGGCAAUUGACUUCCAUCCGCAAUCUCAGCUCCAAACGCCUUGCUUUAGAAGCUGGGGGAACCGUCCCUGGGGGAGCGGGUGGCAGGCUGUGAGCCUCCCGCGACCCCUCUGAUUCCUGCACAGUGCCCGAGGGAGAGUGUGCUAGAAAUGGCUUGGCUGCCGAAUGCAUUAUCUUGCCAUUUUCGUAUCCCGAUACCGCACAAACGAUCGCCUGAUCGAUCGGAACUAGGAGGGAAAGGUAGAGUGGAAAUUGAUUUCUGGCAGAGACUGAGGCGCCGAAUGAUAGAGGGAAUAAACAUUUGCCCUGGAUAAAAAUGUUCUUGGAGAGUAGUAGCAUGCAAGGGUGAAUUUGAAGUCGGGACUUUAAGGAGGCAAUAUGAAGGUGUAAGGUCCUUCUCCCACAUUCAAAACUCAAACACAGGCUGUAUUCCAGCCCUAACGAUGUCCUAGAGCAGAAGUUUUUCUUCAGUCGUCUCAUUUUACCAAAAGGAUGAUCUCUGUGAACUUGAUGACUUAACAGCAAACUCUUGCUUCACGGCUAUUCCAUUCCUCCAGGUAGUGGACAAACCACCAUUUUUCAUCAAGAGCCAAGUUGAUUCUUCCGACUUGCUUACAUAGGGAAUGGAUAGGAGCCAAGAUGGGGAGAACUGGACAUCGAACUAGUUUCCAGAAAUAAACUAAUAAUUCAAGGACUUCUAAUAUUACAUAGUUUGAUUCAUUUAGAAUGUACUACUUAGCAAAGAGUCUUACACAUAUUAGCACCCAAUACAUGCUGAUUUGUUUAUAACAAAUACUGAUAUAGGUGUAAGGAAGUGAAUAAUGAUCAUGAAAUUUGAAGAUUAUAUGAAACAUAUAUGAUAUGAAGAAAAACUACUAAACACAAUAAGAUUAAGUGCAGAAGCCAGUGGAAAUUGGAAAAAUAUUAAAAGAAACUUGAGAUCUAAAAUGAGACCAUAAGAGACUGACUGACAGGGAGUGGGAGGAAUUUUAUUUUCAUGGAAAGAUUGAUAUGAAGCAAUUGGAGCGUUUUCUCCUUGUAUUUUGUACAAUAUUGCAAUCAAGAAAAGAAGCUGAACAUUUGCUUAAUUAGGAUGCAUCAUUAAUUUUAGUGUCUCAUGGAUCCUAAGGCCUUUCACCCCUUUAAUGAAAAUAAAAAGAAACUAAGCCACUUGAUUGCCAAUUCUCUUGGUAUCUCUAAAUCUCUCUAAUGCUCGUACUUUCUAUUCUGAAGAAAUACAUACCUUGUAGGAAGAUGAAAAAUAAUCCCUCACAUUGAUCAUGGAGUUUUGCCUCUGAGGAGAAAAUAUGAAUUUACAGACAAAAGCAAUUUUAAG
rnacentral:lncRNA from 1 species